rnacentral:rRNA from 1 species
CACUCCUGCGGGAGGCAGCAGUGGGGAAUUUUGGACAAUGGGCGAAAGCCUGAUCCAGCAAUGCCGCGUGUGUGAAGAAGGCCUUCGGGUUGUAAAGCACUUUUGUCCGGAAAGAAAUCCUUGGCUCUAAUACAGUCGGGGGAUGACGGUACCGGAAGAAUAAGCACCGGCUAACUACGUGCCAGCAGCCGCGGUAAUACGUAGGGUGCGAGCGUUAAUCGGAAUUACUGGGCGUAAAGCGUGCGCAGGCGGUUUGCUAAGACCGAUGUGAAAUCCCCGGGCUCAACCUGGGAACUGCAUUGGUGACUGGCAGGCUAGAGUAUGGCAGAGGGGGGUAGAAUUCCACGUGUAGCAGUGAAAUGCGUAGAGAUGUGGAGGAAUACCGAUGGCGAAGGCAGCCCCCUGGGCCAAUACUGACGCUCAUGCACGAAAGCGUGGGGAGCAAACAGGAUUAGAUACCCCGGUAGUCCCA